GGGGUUGUGGCUUAGUGGUAGAGUGCUUGCUUAGCACGUGAGAGGCCCUGAGAUCAAUCCUCAGCACCACA
rnacentral:tRNA from 1 species